rnacentral:snRNA from 1 species
GUUUUUUAAAUACACAUAGUAAAAAUAGAAUGAUGCAGAGAAGAGUAGGAUGGCCCCUGCGUGUAAAAGACAUACAAAUUCAUUAAGUGUUCCAUAUUUUU